AUUUUGAUUUAUUUAUUUAUUUUGAUUGGUUGAUUGAUUGAUUUAUUUAUUUAUUUAUUUUGAUUGGUUGAUUGAUUUAUUUAUUUAUUUAUUUAUUUAUUUAUUAAUUUUUAUUAAUUUUUUUUUUUUUUUUUUUUUUUUUUUUUUUUUUUUUUUUUUUUUUUUGCAUGAUCACUUUUAUUUAGGAACAACCAAAAAUUUUAUAAAUGAGAUAAUAGGGUUUUCAAAUAAUAAAAAAUAUGAUAAUAUAGAAAAAGAAUAUUUAAAAGUAAAAAGAAAAAGCAAUUUAAGAUCACUAUUGCGAAAAAUGGAAAAUCCUCAAUUGUCUUCUAACAUAUUUGAAAAUUAUGAAAGUGACAUCAGCAUACGUAGUAACGACUUAUUCUUUAGCGAUGCUGAAGUUAUAACUAACAAUAACGAAGAGGACACAAUUUUUAACAAAACAAGCAUGAGUGAUAAUAAAACGGACACGCUUUAUAGUAAGUCCAAUAUGAAAAGGGACCUCGGUUUAUACAAAAGAAAUGACUUAAAAAUAAAAUGGAUACUAUUAAAUUUGAAUUUAAAAAAAGAAGAAGAACAGAUAAUACAAAAAUAUGUACAGUCUAAAAAAACAAAUAAUUUAAAAUUAUAUAAACCAUCUGUUAAUCGAAAUCCGUAUAAUAAUAGAUAUAAUAGUACGUUAAAAAACAAUUUAUUAUCAAAAAGGGGAGAAUAUAAUAACAUGAAAAUAGAAAAUGAGACAUCAAACAACGACAAAAAUAAUUUUAAUAAAUAUAACCAGCAUCACAUUGAUAUAGGUGGCAAUGACAAUGAUAACUACAAUAGCAGUCGUAAUGACAGAUACAAUAACAAUCUCAAUGAUAGACAUAAAAAUCAACAGCUGCUUCACCAUACGAAUCUUUAUAUGGGUAGCCAAAAUAAUAAUAGUAGAAGUAGUAGUAAUAAUAAAAAUGAUACUAAAAAUGCAAAUAGCUAUAACAUGCUAAACGAUGCACGUUCAAACAAAAUAAAUGAUAAACAAACAUCGGAGGAUAAAAAAAAAAAUUAUGAUGAUAAUAAUUUAAUUUUUAAAUUUCAAUUUGAAACAAAUAAAACUUUAUCCAAAAUAUUAAACAAAAAUAAAGAUAUAAAAAACGAAUUAAAAAACGAAACAACAUAUAUCAACCGAAAUAAUAUCAGCCGAAAUAAUAUUAAGAUAGCUAAUUUUGGAAAUGUUACUUUGGAUGAUGAAGGGAGAAACAAUGAUAAGUAUAAACAAAAACGUUUAAUUGAUAAAACAAAAACAAUUGACAAAACAAAAACAAUUGACAAAACAAAAACAACUGAAAAAACGAAUGAUAAAACUGUUUAUAUGAUAUAUCUUGACUCAUUACCUUCUGCAAAUUAUGGAAAUACCAUUUUAUUAAAACUAAAAAAAUAUAUAGAGUAUAUAUUUAACUUAGAUAAUAAUAUAGAAUUACAUCAAAACGAUGAAAAAUACAAAAACGAAAAUAAACAAAACAGAUCUUCAAUAGAAAAAUUAAAACAUAUAAAUACGAAAAGUGAUAGUAGUAGUAGUAGUACCUUUUCCAAUGUAUUUGAAUCUACGAAUACAUCACCUUAUCUAACUUUUAACUUUAUACAUUCGAAUAUGCUACCUAGACAAAAAAAUUCAUAUGACUGUGGACUUUAUAUUAUUUAUUUUGUGUUGCAUUUAUGUUUAAAUAUACAGUUAGUAGAGGAUGACCUAAUUAAACCUUACAAAGAACAAAUGGAAAGAAAACAGGAGAAGAAUUAUUAUCUUUCAAAUAAAUUUAAAAAACAUUAUUACUAUAAUAUUAAACAUAAUAGUUUGUACUCUAAAUAUUUACACAAAAGACAACCUAUUUGGUUUAAUCAAGAAGAUAUAAAUAUAAAAAGGAAACACAUGAAGAAGAUGCUAAUAUAUAUGAAAGACGUCAUUAAUUGGAAGUCAGCCAAUCACAUAGAAGCUUUGAAUUCGUUAUUUUUAAUCAACACAAAUAAUUAAAAUUACACUUAAAAAAAAACAAAAAAUAAAACAAUUUUGAUAUUUUAAUACA
rnacentral:lncRNA from 1 species